rnacentral:rRNA from 1 species
UACAGAGGGUGCAAGCGUUAAUCGGAGUUGCUGGGCGUAAAGGGCGCGUAGGCGGUCAUGCAAGUGAGAUGUGAAAUCCCCGGGCUUAACCUGGGAAUGGCAUUUGGGACUGCAAGGCUGGAGUGCGGCAGAGGAGACUGGAAUUCCUGGUGUAGCAGUGAAAUGCGUAGAUAUCAGGAGGAACACCGAUGGCGAAGGCAGGUCUCUGGGCUGACACUGACGCUCAUGCACGAAAGCGUGGGGAGCAAACAGG